GAUGAACGCUGGCGGCGUGCCUAAUACAUGCAAGUCGAGCGAACGGACGCGACGCUUGCUUCUCUGAUGUUAGCGGCGGACGGGUGAGUAACACGUGUAUCACCUACCUAUAAGACUGGGAUAACUUCGGGACACCGGAGCUAAUACCGUAUAAUAUUUUGCACCGCAUGGUUCAAUAGUGAAAGACGGUCUUGCUGUCACUUCUAGAUGGAUCCGCGCUGCAUUAGCUAGUUGGUAAGGUAACGGCUUACCACGGCAACGAUGCAUAGCCGACCUGAGAGGGGGAUCGGCCACACUGGAAGUGAGACACGGUCCAGACUCCUACGGGAGGCAGCAGUAGGGAAUCUUCCGCAAAGGGCGAAAGCCUGACGGAGCAACGCCGCGUGAGAGAUGAAGGUCUUCGGAGCGUAAAGCUCUGUUAUGAGGGAAGAACAGAUGUGGAAGUAACUGUGCACAGCGUGACGGUACCGAAUCAGAAAGCCACGGCUAACUACGUG
rnacentral:rRNA from 1 species